CUACCAUUAAGUUGAGCACUCUAAUGAGACUGCCUGGGUAACCAGGAGGAAGGUGGGGAUGACGUCAAAUCAUCAUGCCCCUUAUGUCCAGGGCUACACACGUGCUACAAUGGUAGGUACAAUAAGAUGCGAGACCGUGAGGUGGAGCAAAACUUAUAAAACCUAUCUCAGUUCGGAUUGUAGGCUGCAACUCGCCUACAUGAAGCUGGAGUUGCUAGUAAUCGCGAAUCAGAAUGUCGCGGUGAAUACGUUCCCGGGCCUUGUACACACCGCCCGUCACACCAUGAGAGCUGGUAACACCCGAAGUCCGUGAGGUAACCGUAAGGAGCCAGCGGCCGAAGGUGGGAUUAGUGAUUGGGGUGAAGUCGUAACAAGGUAGCCGUAGGAGAACCUGCGGCUGGAUCACCUCCUUUCUAAGGAGA
rnacentral:rRNA from 1 species